rnacentral:piRNA from 1 species
UCCCAACAAGCUGGCGACACAAGGAUGGU